CCUACGGGAGGCUGCAGUGGGGAAUAUUGGACAAUGGGGGGAACCCUGAUCCAGCGACGCCGCGUGAGUGAAGAAGUAUUUCGGUAUGUAAAGCUCUAUCAGCAGGGAAGAAAGAAAUGACGGUACCUGACUAAGAAGCCCCGGCUAACUACGUGCCAGCAGCCGCGGUAAUACGGAGGAGGCAAGCGUUAUCCGGAUUUACUGGGUGUAAAGGGAGCGUAGGCGGCGAUUCAAGUCUGAAGUUAAAGGGGGGGGCCCAACCCUCGGAGUGCCGUUGAAACUGGGUGGCUUGAGUGCAGGAGAGGUAAGUGGAAUUCGUGGUGUAGCGGUGAAAUGCGUAGAUAUUAGGAAGAACACCGAUGGCGAAGGCAGCUUACUGGACUGUAACUGACGUUGAGGCUCGAAAGCGUGGGGAGCAAACAGGAUUAGAUACCCGAGUAGUC
rnacentral:rRNA from 1 species